rnacentral:rRNA from 1 species
CGCAUCUGUGCAUGCAGCAUAUCAAUAAGCGGAGGAAAAGAAACUAACAAGGAUUCCCUUAGUAACGGCGAGUGAAGCGGGAAGAGCUCAAAUUUGAAAUCUUCAAGGUUUUACCUUGACGAAUUGUAGUUUAAAGAAGUGUUUUCUGCUGAAGUUUUGGUAAAAGUUCUUUGGAAUAGGACAUCAUAGAGGGUGAGAAUCCCGUAUUUGACCAUUAUUUUCAGCUUUGUGAUACACUUUCAAAGAGUCGGAUUGUUUGGGAAUGCAGUCCAAAAUGGGUGGUAAAUUUCAUCUAAAGCUAAAUAUUGGCGAGAGACCGAUAGCGAACAAGUACCGUGAGGGAAAGAUGAAAAGAACUUUGAAAAGAGAGUUAAACAGUACGUGAAAUUGUCAAAAGGGAAGCGUUUGACACCAGUGUUGUUUUCUCGAAAAUCAAUUAAAAAUGGCUCGAUUUUGUAUUGCUGAGACCUUAAAAGCUCACUGUACAUUUUUCCGUGUCUUUUUUAAUGCACUUUUCGUUUAACAAGUCAACAUCAGUUUCUUUUGUUGUAAAAGGGUCAUUGGAAGGUGGCUUUCUUUUCGGAGAAAGUGUUUAUAGCCUUUGGCCUCUGCAAUCGAAGAGACUGAGGUCUGCAGCGUAGACUCUUCGGGGUUAGAUACAUUUGUGCUAAGUUAUAGCUUUUUAUAGACAACUUGUUGACUAUAAUUAGUCUUGUAGCUUACUCGCUUAUGCUAUUUUACCUACGCUUAGGAUGUUGACGCAUGAGAUAUACGC